GAGUUUGAUCCUGGCUCAGGACGAACGCUGGCGGCGUGCUUAACACAUGCAAGUCGAACGAAGCUUGAUUACGGAUUCUUCGGAAGAAGUAUGAUAUGACUGAGUGGCGGACGGGUGAGUAACGCGUGAGUAACCUGCCCUUCAGAGGGGGACAACAGUUGGAAACGACUGCUAAUACCGCAUAAGCCCACGGGUCGGCAUCGACCAGAGGGAAAAGGAGCAAUCCGCUUUGAGAUGGCCUCGCGUCCGAUUAGCUAGUUGGUGAGGUAACGGCCUACCAAGGCGACGAUGCGUAGCCGACCUGAGAGGGUGACCGGCCACACUGGGACUGAGACACGGCCCAGACUCCUACGGGAGGCAGCAGUGGGGAAUAUUACACAAUGGGGGAAACCCUGAUGCAGCAACGCCGCGUGAAGGAAGACGGUUUUCGGAUUGUAAACUUCUGUUCUUAGUGAAGAUAGUGACGGUAGCUAAGGAGCAAGCCACGGCUAACUACGUGCCAGCCGCCGCGGUAAUUC
rnacentral:rRNA from 1 species